rnacentral:rRNA from 1 species
GACGAACGCUGGCGGCGUGCUUAACACAUGCAAGUCGAACGAUGAAGCUAGAGCUUGCUCUGGUGGAUUAGUGGCGAACGGGUGAGUAACACGUGAGUAACCUGCCCCGAACUCUGGGAUAACUGCUGGAAACGGUAGCUAAUACCGGAUAUGACCAAUGAAGGCAUCUUCUGUUGGUGGAAAGAAUUUCGGUUCGGGAUGGACUCCCGGCCUAUCAGCUUGUUGGUGAGGUAACGGCUCACCAAGGCGACGACGGGUAGCCGGCCGGAGAGGUUGAUCGGCCACACUGGGACUGAGACACGGCCCAGACUCCUACGGGAGGCAGCAGUGGGGAAUAUUGCACAAUGGGCGCAAGCCUGAUGCAGCAACGCCGCGUGAGGGACGACGGCCUUCGGGUUGUAAACCUCUUUUAGUAGGGAAGAAGCGAAAGUGACGGUACCUGCAGAAAAAGCACCGGCUAACUACGUGCCAGCCGCCGCCGUAA